GUCUACAUUUUCCUGGUUGAUCCUGCCGGACCUGACUGCUAUCGGAUUGGUACUAAGCCAUGCGAGUCGUUGUAGCAUACAAGGCGGACUGCUCAGUAACACGUAGUUAACUUAACCUAUGGAUGGGGAUAACCUCGGGAAACUGAGAAUAAUACCCAAUAGACCUCAGUGCCUGGAAUGGCCUGUGGUUGAAAUGAUUUAUCGCUGUAGGAUAGGACUGCGGCCUAUCAGCUUGUUGGUGAGGUAAUGGCCCACCAAGGCUAUAACAGGUACGGGCUCUGAGAGGAGGGGCCCGGAGAUGGGUACUGAGACACGGACCCAGGCCCUAUGGGGCGCAGCAGGCGAGAAACCUUUGCAAUGUGCGAAAGCACGACAAGGUUAAUCCGAGUGUCUCCUGCUAAAGGAGUCUUUUGUCAGUUGUAGAAUCACUGGUGAAUAAGGGGUGGGCAAGUUCUGGUGUCAGCCGCCGCGGUAAAACCAGCACCUCGAGUGGUCAGGAGGUUUAUUGGGCCUAAAGCAUCCGUAGCCGGUUGCAUAAGUUUUCGGUUAAAUCUAUGCGCUCAACGUAUAGGCCGCCGAAAAUACUGUGCAGGU
rnacentral:rRNA from 1 species